CCGUGGUCAGGCGCCAAAGCGCAUGGUCUCAGUAUCAGUAAUCGUAUUGUUGAUACAUCUAUUGCUCGGCUGACCCUCGCUGAGUCGUAGAACCUCUUCUACACGUCGACAAGAGUUAUUCUUGUAUUUGCCAGAUAUUGUGAGAUGUCUGGCUUUUUUUAUU
rfam:Vibrio ponticus DNA, contig: contig00009_59, strain: JCM 19238.